rnacentral:rRNA from 1 species
ACGGCUCAGUAACACGUGGAUAACCCUGCCCUAAGGAAGGGGAUAACCUCGGGAAACUGAGGAUAAUACCCUAUAGGUUACAGACGCUGGAAUGCCCUGUAACCGAAAGCUCCGGCGCCUUAGGAUGGAUCUGCGGCCGAUUAGAUUGUUGUUGGGGUAACGGCCCAACAAGCCGAUAAUCGGUACGGGUUGUGGGAGCAAGAGCCCGGAGUUGGAUUCUGAGACACGAAUCCAGGCCCUACGGGGCGCAGCAGGCGCGAAAACUUUACAAUGCGGGAAACCGUGAUAAGGGAACCUCGAGUGCCUGUAUAUGCAGGCUGUCCAGGUGUCUAAAAAACACCUGAAGAAAGGGCCGGGCAAGACCGGUGCCAGCCGCCGCGGUAAUACCGGCGGCUCGAGUGGUGGCCACUUUUAUUGGGCUUAAAGCGUUCGUAGCUGGGUUGUUAAGUCUCUUGGGAAAUCUGACGGCUCAACCGUCAGGCGUCCAAGGGAUACUGGCAAUCUUGGAACCGGGAGAGGUGAGGGGUACUUCGGGGGUAGGGAGUGAAAUCCUGUAAUCCUCGAGGGACCACCUGUGGCGAAGGCGCCUCACCAGAACGGCUUCGACAGUGAGGGACGAAAGCUGGGGGAGCAAACCGGAUUAGAUACCCGGGUAGUCCCAGCCCUAAACGAUGCGCGUUAGGUGUAUCGGUGACCACGAGUCACCGAGGUGCCGAAGGGAAACCGUGAAACGUGCCGCCUGGGAAGUACGGUCGCAAGGCUGAAACUUAAAGGAAUUGGCGGGGGAG